CGUAGGCAGCUGCCGCACGUGCGGCUGCUGUCCUCCGACGGCAUCACGAGCCGCCACCGUUAGUUAGCCCAACAGCCGCCACCAACCGUCCCGCAGCGCGACUCACCGCGGUUGGCCGAGUUCUCUCGGCCGCCGAUGUCCCCUGUCGGGGAGCAGGGACCGGCGACUGUGGGCCGGGCUCCGCCGCGGCUGCUCUGGGCCAGCCACUCCACCGAGAAAGGCCCCUUCUCCAUCUCCCCCGCUGCUGCCGGUCCCAGCUCACUGAGGCUGCCCCGGCUCUAGGGACAAACAUUUAAAGCACCUUCCGCGACGUGUUUUUUGAAAAGGCCGCAAAGCAUCAAAUGAGACAGAGGACAAAGGACUUCAUUGAGAGGUGCUUUAAUCUCCCCUUUCAGGUGAUUGUUGCAUCCGCCUAAUCUCUGAACGCAGCAGUUAGCAGAACUCAAGGCUACCUGACCUGGCGCCAAAUUCAGCUGAGUAGUCUCUUGACCACGUAGCUGCUGGUAAUUGCAUCAUGGCCAGUGCUUUUUAUGCUGCCCAAGCUGGCCUCGACUCUCGAAUCACUCCGUGAUUUUCUAUAUUUAUCUCCCGGUAUGAAGGACAAGGAUUGGGACGGUACUGGUAACAAAGGAUAGAGGGAGGCCCUUUUUAUGAGAUUUAAACCCAAAGCUGGAGCCCCUUUUGCUUGUUUGAUGCAAAGUUUGGAAUAAUCCUGUUGCCUUUCUACCGGCAAAGGAGUGACUUAAGCCAGGAGGUUAGGUGCCCAGUGGCCACUGAGAUGCUCAGAAAUGGGUUGGAGCUCAUUCCCUAUGAGGACAGGCUGAGGGAACUUGGCUUCUUCACUUUGGAGAAGAGCAGGUGUACUGGGGACCUAACAAAAGCUUUUCAAUACAGGGUUAUCAAACUGGACUCAGGCACAGUGAUCCAUGGUAGAUGGAUGAGAGACAAUGGGUAUGAGCUGAAAGAAUAAAGAUCCCGACUUCACGUAAGGAAAGACUUUUGACCAUGAGGAUUGUAGUGUGAGAUUGUGCAGCGUUAUCCUUGUAGGUUUUAACAGCUUAACUGGAAAAAGCCCUCAGUAACCUGGCCUGACAGCCUCCGCUGUUCAAAGCUGACCAUGCUCUGAAUCAGAGGUUGAUCUGCAGACCUUCUGAGAAGGUUUUCAAUCUAAAUUGCCCUAUAAUCAGAUACUAAAAAGCCAGCCGCACCUCUAUGAAUAUGGAAUGAUUAUAAUGUCUAUUAACAACAUACAGAUACCUGACAGAUCUACUGAUUUAUUCCCUCCUCCCCCCCUGCUUUUUUUCCCCCUUCUUAAAAGGAGUCAUGCACACUAACUAGUUCUGCUGGAAAAUGUCCUACUCACAUGAAACUAAACUUCGGAUUGUUCUACUGUUGUUCUUUGCUUGACUAAAUUUAGUGGGAGGUUGCAAAUACUGUUUAGAAUUUCAUUUAUCAUUCUAAGAAUUUGUAAGCAAACCAAAUAGGUCUUUUGUAUUUUAUGUUCAUAUUUAAAGAUCAUUAUGGAUGAAAGUCAAAGAACACAUGCUUUCUGGCAUAUAGAGGAAUCGAUUUAUUUUGACUACCUGACACACUCAGAUAUUGCAAUAUUUGUGACUUAAAGCACAGUUUAAUUGGAUUUUGCUCCUUAAACAUGCUUUACAUUAAUGUUAUAGUGUGCAAAGUUCUUCUGUUUACUGUAGGACUGGAGGGUCUUCAGCCAAUUAAAGUUGGUUUGUUGUUUUUUUUUUAAAUAUUUGUAUUGUUAGAUGUCUGCUUUAUGCACAUUCCCAGACCCAAACUGAACUUCUUGAAGGGCUGAACUCAUGCAAUAAAUCUGCUUUCAUAUGAGCAUAAUGACCCUGACAGAAACAAUAGUGUUGCAAAGUCAAGCCUUUGAGUGGACUUUUAAUAGCAGAAAGGCAUUCUGCCAAGUUUAGGUAAGAAGGCUCUAAGAAGUUAUUCUGCUGCUCCCCCUAUAAAAAACCAGUUUAUAAUUACCAGCACAAAAUCUAGCAGCAGGAAGUAAGGUUUCAGUUUUAAAAUGUAACUUGAUUAGCUUUUCAAUGUUAAAAUUAAAGCUGUAAGAGCUCAUGAAUAUCUGCCAGCCCAGCAGAUUCCUGAGUUGGUUU